AUUGAACGCUGGCGGCAGGCUUAACACAUGCAAGUCGAGCGGGGGAAGGUAGCUUGCUACCGGACCUAGCGGCGGACGGGUGAGUAAUGCUUAGGAAUCUGCCUAUUAGUGGGGGACAACAUCUCGAAAGGGAUGCUAAUACCGCAUACGUCCUACGGGAGAAAGCAGGGGAUCUUCGGACCUUGCGCUAAUAGAUGAGCCUAAGUCGGAUUAGGUAGUUGGCGGGGUAAAGGCCUACCAAGGCGGCGAUCUGUAGCGGGUCUGAGAGGAUGCACCGCCACAGUGGGACUGAGACACGGCGCAGACUCCUACGGGAGGCAGCAGUGGGGAAUAUUGGACAAUGGGGGGAACCCUGAUCCAGCCAUGCCGCGUGUGUGAAGAAGGCCUUAUGGUUGUAAAGCACUUUAAGCGAGGAGGAGGCUACUCUAGUUAAUACCUAGGGAUAGUGGACGUUACUCGCAGAAUAAGCACCGGCUAACUCUGUGCCAGCAGCCGCAGUAA
rnacentral:rRNA from 1 species